rnacentral:tRNA from 1 species
GCUUUCUUAGUAUAAUUAGUACUACUGACUUCCAAUCAGUAAGAUCCGUAAUUUUAACGGAAGAAAGUA